rnacentral:rRNA from 1 species
AAAUACUCUCUAGUGACCGAUAGUGAACCAGUACCGUGAGGGAAAGGUGAAAAGCACCCCGGAAGGGGAGUGAAAUAGAACCUGAAACCGUGUGCUUACAAGUAGUCAGAGCCCGUUAAUGGGUGAUGGCGUGCCUUUUGUAGAAUGAACCGGCGAGUUACGAUUUGAUGCAAGGUUAAGCAGUAAAUGUGGAGCCGUAGCGAAAGCGAGUCUGAAUAGGGCGUUUAGUAUUUGGUCGUAGACCCGAAACCAGGUGAUCUACCCUUGGUCAGGUUGAAGUUCAGGUAACACUGAAUGGAGGACCGAACCGACUUACGUUGAAAAGUGAGCGGAUGAACUGAGGGUAGCGGAGAAAUUCCAAUCGAACCUGGAGAUAGCUGGUUCUCUCCGAAAUAGCUUUAGGGCUAGCCUCAAGUGAUGAUUAUUGGAGGUAGAGCACUGUUUGGACGAGGGGCCCCUCUCGGGUUACCGAAUUCAGACAAACUCCGAAUGCCAAUUAAUUUAACUUGGGAGUC